rfam:Trichobilharzia regenti genome assembly, scaffold: TRE_scaffold0002657
GUACUGCUGAAGAGUCCUUCACUAGGACGAAACAGCUGUCCAGUAC